rnacentral:sRNA from 1 species
CUGGACUCCGGGUCCUUGAAGCUCGGUGAUGCCUUCAGGCCCGCCAGUCGGAGUCGGAGCGCUUCAGGCGAAGUCUUGGGUUCCUGGGGAGGAUCAGGAGGGACCAUACCCAUUGUCCAGGUAUGGAAGUCAGGAGAUGCAGGCUGGUGAGGGGAGCAUCUGGGAAACAAAACUUGAGCCACAUUUCAGUCGACUGUUCACCCUUCCAGGCUGUUCCCCAAGGAGCAGAAACCCCCAGACCAUUGUUUCAGACCAAACUUUCCAGGUGAGAGACACGGACCACUCUGGACCAAGUUGGGGGGAAGCAGCUUGCAUAGCUUUUGCCCCAAAAAUGAAAGGGCUUCCUACCUA